UUGUAUUCUUAGUAGAGACGGGGUUUCACCAUGUUGGCCAGGCUGGUCUCAAACUCUUGACCUCUUCAUCCGUCCACCUCAGCCUCCCAAAGUGCUAGGAUUACAGGCGUGAGUCACUGCGCCUGGCCCAAGUCCGGAAUUUUCAACAGGACAUGGGUGUUACUGUGCCCAUGUGACAUUUGGGGAACCCAAGGCCCUGAGAAAGGCAGAAAAAUAACCCACGCAGGGACUCUCAGCCCACAAGUGAAGCUCUUGGAAUGCACUCCCUCCACCUCCAACCAGAGCUCCCCACAACUGACCCUGCCUUCUUCUGCAAGCUCCAUUUCAUCAAGGGAAACGAUCCUUAUUGCCUCACCAUUUCCCACGUGAAGUCUGUAUUGACAUUCUCAUAGACCUGGGAUAUUGUGUCUGCAGCACAUAGUCCAAUUAUUUUCAUGUUAUCUACUGACAGGUCUAUUUGUCUCCCUGUUACACUGUGAGCUCCGUGAGGGCAGAAACAAUGUUAGUAUUUUCACUGCUGUGUCCCCAGCGCCUGGUCCGGGGCCCGGCACACAGC
rnacentral:lncRNA from 1 species